rnacentral:rRNA from 1 species
AGAGUUUGAUCCUGGCUCAGAAUGAACGCUGGCGGCGUGCCUAACACAUGCAAGUCGGAUGUGCCCGCAAGGGUGCAUGGCAGACGGGUGAGUAACGCGUGGGGAACCUACCUCUUUGUGGGGAAUAACGUUCCGAAAGGAAUGGUAAUACCGCAUGAGACCGCGGACUGGGAUGUUCGCGGUGAAACCUGGGGACCGUA